AGGAAUUUGGGGAACCCCCCCGGGAUUUGGGGACCCCCCCGGGACUUGGGGACCCCCCCGGGGACUUGGAGACCCUUCCGGGGAUUUGGGGAUCCCCCCGGAUUUUGGGAAACCCCCCCAGAUUUGGGGAGCCCCCCCGGUUUUGGGGACCCCCCCGGGACUUGGGGACCCCCCCAGGAAUUUGGGGAACCCCCCCGGGAUUUGGGGACCCCCCUGGGAUUUAGAAACACCCCCCAGGUGCCCCCCAUUUCUGGGGAACCCCCCCCUGGGAUUUUCCCACUUAAAUUUGGGAUCCCCCCCCAAAUUUUGGGGACCUCCCAGAAUUUGGGGACCCCCCGGGGAUUUGGGGACCCCCCCGGAUUUGGGAUCCCACUCAUUUUUGGGGACCCCCCCAGAUUUUGGGGAACCCCCCCUGAGAUUUGGGGACCUUCCCGGGAUUUCGGGUUCCCCCCGGUGUUUUUGGAGUCCCUGGGUCAUUUUUGGGGUCCCCUGGGUGUUUUUGGGGUCCCUGGGUCAUUUCUGGGUUCCCCAGGGUUAUUUUGGGUUCCCCCGGGUGUUUUUGGGUCCCCCCCGCUAUUUUUGGGGUCCCCCCGGGUGUUUUUGGGUUCCCCUGGGUGUUUUUGGGGUCCCCCCGGGUAUUUUUGGGGUCCCCCCGGUAUUUUUGGGGUCCUCCCGGGUGUUUCUGGGUUCCCCUGGGUUAUUUUGGGGUCCUCCCGGGUAUUUUUGGGUCCCCCCGGGUGUUUUGGGGUCCCCCCCGGGUGUUUUGGGGGUCCCCCCGGGUAUUUUUGGGUUCCCCUGGGUAUUUUUGGGUUCCCCCCGGGUAUUUUCGGGGUUCCCCCGGGUGUUUUUGGGUCCCCCCAGUUGUUUUUGGGGUCCCCCUGGCUGUUUUUGGGAUCCCUGGGUCAUUUUUGGGUUCCCCCCGGGUGUUUUGGGGUCCCCCCGGGUAUUUUUGGGCUCCCCCCGGUUGUUUUGGCUCCCCCCGGUAUUUUCGGGGUCCCCCGGGUGUUUUUGGGGUGCUCACGUCUCGCUCAGGGUCUCGUACAAGCCGUGGUCCAGCAGCACCAGCUCGGCUUUUCCAUCGGGGCCGCGCCGCACCAGAACUGCCCCGAAAACGGGGGUCAGGGUCGGGACCCCCGAAUUUGGGGUCAGGGAGGGACCCCCGAAUUUGGGAUUUACACCCCGGGGUCGGGAUUGACCCCCCAGAUUUGGGAUUGA
rnacentral:lncRNA from 1 species